GACGAACGCUGGCGGCAUGCCUAAUACAUGCAAGUCGAGCGAACAGAUGAAGUGCUUGCACUUCUGACGUUAGCGGCGAACGGGUGAGUAACACGUAAGGAAUCUACCUAUAAGCGGGGGAUAACAUUCGGAAACGGGUGCUAAUACCGCAUAAUAUCUUCUUCCGCAUGGAAGAAGAUUGAAAGACGGCUCUGCUGUCACUUAUAGAUGGCCUUGCGGUGCAUUAGUUAGUUGGUGGGGUAACGGCCUACCAAGACGAUGAUGCAUAGCCGACCUGAGAGGGUGAUCGGCCACAUUGGGACGGAGACACGGCCCAAACUCCUACGGGAGGCAGCAGUAGGGAAUCUUCCGCAAUGGGCGAAAGCCUGACGGAGCAAUGCCGCGUGAGUGAAGAAGGCCUUCGGGUCGUAAAACUCUGUUAUAAGAGAAGAACAAAUUGUAGAGUAACUGCUACAGUCUUGACGGUAUCUUAUCAGAAAGCCACGGCUAACUACGUGCCAGCCGCCGCGGUAAUAC
rnacentral:rRNA from 1 species